GAUGAACGCUGGCGGCGUGCCUAAUACAUGCAAGUCGAGCGAACGGACGAUAAGCUUUCUUUUUUGAUGUUAGCGUCUGACGGGUGAGUAACACGUGUAUCACCUACCUCUUUUUCUUGGAUAACUUCGUGAAACCGCUUCUAAUACCGUAUAAUAUUUUUUACCGCUUGGUUCAUAAGUUAUUUACGUUCUUUCUGUCACUUAUAGCUGGUUCCGCGCUGCAUUAGCUAGUUGGUAAGGUAACGGCUUACCAAGGCAACGAUGCAUAGCCGACCUGAGAGGGUGAUCGGCCACACUGGAACUGAGACACGGUCCAGACUACUACGGGAGGCAGCAGUAGGGAAUAUGACGCAAUGGGCGAAAGCAUGACGGAGCAAAGCCGCGUGAGUGAAGAAGGUCUUCGGAUCGUAAAAAUCUGUUAUUAGGGAAGAAAAGAUGUGGAAGAAAAUGUGGAGAGAUUGACGGUACCUAAAGAGAAAGCAACGGCUAACUACGUG
rnacentral:rRNA from 1 species